CGGGACGGGUGAGUAACGCGUAGGGAUCUACCCAGUAGUGGGGGACAACAUGGUGAAAACCAUGCUAAUACCGCAUACGCCCUAAGGGGGAAAGCGGGGGAUCUUCGGACCUCGCGCUAUUGGAUGAGCCUGCGUAGGAUUAGCUUGUUGGUGAGGUAAAAGCUCACCAAGGCGACGAUCCUUAGCUGGUCUGAGAGGAUGAUCAGCCACACUGGGACUGAGACACGGCCCAG
rnacentral:rRNA from 1 species